UGGUCCACCGGUAUGCUGCUCCCAUCUCUCAUUGGCCCACCAGUAUGCUGCUCCCCUCUCUCAUUGGUCCACCGGUAUGUUGCUCCUCUCUCUCACAAAUGAGGAAAGUGAAGAUGGGCAAAUAACCUGUUUUACUGAGGCUGCGACUCCCACCUCAGUUCGCUAGCCUCACUGCUUAUCUCGGUUGACAACGUUCAUGGCCUCUGCUGGAUGGCUCCCAUAGUCGAGUUGGUGCUUACAGAGGCUUUCUGGCAUGGAGGUGUCAAAUAGAGCACAUAGAAACAAGGAUCCACUUCAUGCUGCCUGCUUACAGUUUUUGAGAAUGGAGAAAAAUUAAGGAUUUCUCAUUGAAGAACCACAACUAAGAGGCAUGCCCCAGCCUUUCUUUUGAUUAUUAUGUGUAUAGUGUAAUAAGAAACUUCAACAUACCAUUAUAAAAAAUACAUUUCUUACAGACACCAUAUAAUUGGCUCAUUUUUAUUUGUUUGUUUGUUUAUUUAUCAGUUGAGGGUCUUUCUACAUAGCCUGGCUGUUCUGGAACUCACCAUGUAGAUGAAGCUGGCCUCAAACUGACGAGAUUCUCCAACCCCUGCCUCCUGAGUGCUUGUAGUAAAGGCCCUGACACAUAUGUCCUACCUUCAAGGACCUCACAGUGAAGAAGGCUGGCUGAUCAUGCUACAGGUUACCGGGCAUGGUCUUUUCUUUAUCUGGACCUUUGACCCUCGACCCACAAGCAAAGGUUCCGGUGACUGACUUCCAGGCUAGCGUUCUGGGGGAUACUGGAAAGAAGACCAUUUUCUCUCCAGUGGAGAUUGCUAAUCAAACUAUGCAGCUUCUCUGGGGAAGAUGACUCUGUCAGGUUUGAUUGGAGCUGUGGGCCCUGAUGCCCAACCUGACAGCCCUGAUAGGCUGAGGGCCUGCUCUCUAGAAGCAAGAGGAACGAAUGUUACCUUCCAUGCCUUACCUCUUGCUCAGGCUGAGUCCUACCAAGCCUGAUAAGAGAGCUGUCCCGGGAGGUGAACCGGGAGAAUUUC
rnacentral:lncRNA from 1 species